rnacentral:rRNA from 1 species
GACGAACGCUGGCGGCGUGCUUAACACAUGCAAGUCGAGCGGAAAGGCCCUUCGGGGUACUCGAGCGGCGAACGGGUGAGUAACACGUGAGUAACCUGCCCCAGACUUUGGGAUAACCCUCGGAAACGGGGGCUAAUACCGGAUACGACACAGCUUCGCAUGGGGUCUGUGUGGAAAGUUUUUCGGUUUGGGAUGGGCUCGCGGCCUAUCAGCUUGUUGGUGGGGUGAUGGCCUACCAAGGCGACGACGGGUAGCCGGCCUGAGAGGGCGACCGGCCACACUGGGACUGAGACACGGCCCAGACUCCUACGGGAGGCAGCAGUGGGGAAUAUUGCACAAUGGGCAGAAGCCUGAUGCAGCGACGCCGCGUGAGGGAUGACGGCCUUCGGGUUGUAAACCUCUUUCAGCAGGGACGAAGCGUAAGUGACGGUACCUGCAGAAGAAGCGCCGGCCAACUACGUG